UAUCUUUAGUAGUAGUAGUAGUACUAGUAGUAGUAGUAGUAGUAGUAAUGAACAACUUGGGAAGUACUUUAAGUGAAAAGAAGAUUGGAGUCAAAAGAUCUUGUCCUCAAUCCAGCCUCUGCACAGCUAACUCAUACAUGUGUUCAAACAAAACCUUCAAUUUCUUAUUUUUCUAUAGGUGGAGGAAAGGUAGGCUAAAUACAGUAACAAUGGGAAUAUCUUACCUCCGUCUGUAGGAGAGGCAUAGAGGCUUUCUAGUAAGAGAUUUCUAUUCCACUACCACUGCUCCAUGUCCAUUGCAUGAAAGCCCUGUGUGUGUGUGUGUGUGUGUGUGUGUGUGCGCAACCGCUGUCCUGGAAAGACAGUACAAAAGAAAGCCUGAUUAUCUGUGACUUCUACCUAUACAAUGGUGAUCCUAAAUCCUAUGAUGAAAUAAUGUAAGAAUAAAUUUCAACUGAGCUUUAACAGCAGAACCUCUGAUUGUUAGUCCCCGUGAUUACUGACAGCCAUGUGUAUGUUUACACAUAUAUAGAUGCAUCUGUCUUAUUAAUUCAACUACUUAGAAACUAUACUUUCUUUAUACUUCGUGAUUUUUGACAUAAUUUCCCUGUAUAAUUAGAAAGCCAAAAACAAGUUAAGCUCCCUCCCUGCUGCCUGUAGAUCAGGAUGUAAAGUUCUCGGCUCCAGGGCUACGCCUGUCUGCAUGCCACCAUGCUCCCCACAGUGACAAAAAUGGGCUAAGCCUCUGAAACUCUAAGUAUAGUCUUCACUAUUCAUCAAGAAAACUUUGCCACAGGUGGGGACUGCUACAGAAAACCACAACCAAUCGAAAUGCGGAGUCGUGGAGCUCAGGCCCAGUGGCUACAUCUAGAAAACACCCCACACCUAAGGCUUAGGGAACAUUGCAGAAGAAGAAGCAGAAAGAUUAUUAAAGCCAGAGGAUCAGAGAACUUGCUGUGAGAUUGUGUCUCUUUGUAAUAUUGUAAACUAUACCAGUGAAGUUUCAUUAACAUGCCUGCCCGAAUGUGAGCUAAACCCACAGGACACCGACAAACAAGCCAAACCACCAGGGGAGAGCCCAUGACCCCUCCGCCCUACAGAGAACUCAAGCAACUGAGUGAAGCUGGGAGGGGAGAAGCUUGUCCUUAGCAGGGAAGAACACACUGGCUGUGCAGUGACAGCCAACCCUGAAAGCAUAUAUGCAAGUGAUACUAUAGGGACUCAACAGGUUUUACAUGGGACUAUGGAUGUAUAUACAAAUACAUGUAUGCAUGCAAUAACAGUUGAUGGGUAAUGAAGCCAUCAAGGAAGGAGGGUGGAGAGGGUUAUAUGGGAGGGCGUGGAGAAAGCAAAGGGAAGGGAGAAAUGUUGGCAUUAAAAUGCAACCUCAAAGCUAAACAAGAAAAUAGAAACAAAUGAAUUAAAUAUAUAUAAAUUAGGGUGACCCCUUAAUGGUUCUGAAACAAAAUUUGUCUUUUUUUUUUCUUCCUAUUUGGCCUUCUCCUUGAAGAAAAAUAAUUACAGUAAAUUAUUAAUUAGGGAUACCUUAUAUUCAAAUGCCAAAUCCUUAUAAUUGUAAUAAAUUAAGAUACUUAGAAUGUAUUUACUGAGUAUCUGAUACAUGUCACAUAUAACUUACUACUCAAUCUGGCAUACUGUAGAGAGCAAGGAGACACAGCUGAUAUCCUGGCUCUCACGGAUAUGUAGGGCCUGACAGGGGAGACUAUCUGCAGUUACUGGAGAUGCACGUCACCGGCUAUGUGGUAACGCUGAGCUUUGUCACUGACUACAUGGCAGUGAUGGAGACAGACAUGGCCUUUGUCCUCCAGGUGUUUAUAGCCCAAGCAAGGAGAACGAAAACAAAACAACAAAUUGUGGUUGCAGCCAGUGUUGUAAAGGGGAAAAGCAAAAUGGAAGCAAAGGUGACG
rnacentral:sRNA from 1 species